rnacentral:misc_RNA from 1 species
GACCGGCGAGAGCAGAGUUUUGCAUGCGGACAAUGCAGACAUUCUGAGCACCACCAGCAGACCCCUGGCAGGUCAUACCCUGGGGCAUGGCAACCUUGACGGGGAAAUCAGUAGUAGCAGCAGACAGACCACCAAUACCAAUUCCGGGAACGUUCUGCAUGACCUGAGCGUCUUGGAAUGCGUUGGGGUCAGUUCCUCCGGAGGUGGCAUCGAUCUGUGCGGUGAGUGGGCCAGCACCGUCCUGGUUGACCUGGUGGAAGGUCAUGGUGAUGG